rnacentral:rRNA from 1 species
CGGAGGGUGCAAGCGUUAUCCGGAUUUACUGGGUUUAAAGGGUGCGCAGGCGGAUAUGUAAGUCAGUGGUGAAAUCUCCGGGCUUAACCCGGAAACUGCCGUUGAUACUAUAUAUCUUGAAUGCUGUGGAGGUAAGCAGAAUAUGUCAUGUAGCAGUGAAAUGCUUAGAGAUGACAUAGAAUACCUAUUGCGAAGGCAGCUUACUACGCAGAUAUUGACGCUCAUGCACGAAAGCGUGGGGAUCAAACAGGAUUAGAUACCCUGGUAGUCCACGCCCUAAACGAUGAUUACUCGACAUACGCGAUAUACAGUGUGUGUCUGAGCGAAAGCAUUAAGUAAUCCACCUGGGAAGUACGAUCGCAAGAUUG